GGCAGGUUAGGGCUUUCGCAAGCUCCCGGCUGCAGCCAAAGGCAGGAGAUCAGUUUGUAAACAGACAACAAAAUCGCAGAGACAAACACCCUCAGACAUGCCCUAACCCACCUCUCAGAUGGGCUCAGAGCUGGAGCUGGCCGGCGCGGAUUCCCCACCCUCUCCCAGGGAAUGGGCGGCCUCACCUUGGUCCUGGAGAGGCCGGUGCCUCCCUCCGGCCAGCCCUUCUGCUCUUUCCCCCACCCAAACUCCACAAAUCGCUUCUGGGAUUACUGCUUGCCCUCCUUCCUUGCCAGACUCUGGCCUCAUCCCCCCCUGUCUGAUGUAGACCCUGCCAUCAGUUUUGCUGAGGCUUCCUCCCAAACCUUCAGUGGCUCCCCAUGCCUACAGGGUCCAGCUUGGACCCUCAACUUGGCCUUUAGCAUCUCCAUCAUCUGGUCUCUGGCCUCUGUGCCCACUGCUCCCCCUGUGCCCGGGACGAUGACCUUCAGUCUUGGGAUGCUGUCUCCACAUGGCCUGCUCAUCCCAAUUCCAGAUUUGGCCUGUUAGGCCUAGUUCGUUCCUUGCCCAUGCACAGCUUUGUGGUCACAGAUGGGAUCCCAGGUAGUGAGCAUGCCUUCCUCUGAAGGGUAGGUGGCCCGUGUGCCUGCCCCAGUCAGAGGAUCUGUGCAGAGGAGAAUCCCAACCCUGCCACUUCCUGGAAGUGUGAACUUGGGGAAGGGAGCCUCGGUUUUCUCAUCUAUAAAACGGGAACGAUGACCCCUCCACAGGAUCCAAAGCUCUUGGCCGUGCAGAUCACAGAGACGAUAUGAAAUACACUUCAGCUAUGAUUCCCAUGAUCCACAUUGUUAUUACUUCAUACAGCGAACAUGUUAAGCACCAAGCCACCAGCAGGUAGCAAGAUGACCAAAUAUGUCGCAUGAGAAUAUUAGAAACACCACCAACCCAACUUAAAUAUGGGAAACUGAGGCCCGGGGCCCCAAAGCCAGGUAACGGCAGAGCUGGACUAGAAGAAGCCAGAUCUCCUGUUUUCCAAGCCAGAAUUCUUCCGCCGCAAGUGACCGCUACUGAGAGUCAAGUUCAAACACCGAACUUUAAAUAUGAUCUUCUCAAAGGACACAGAGAGCCUCAGCCACAUGGCCCUUCUGGAUUCUGUUGCUGCCGCUCUUCGCCUCAAGGGUCUACUCCCUGAAAGAAGCCAGAGCCUUCCUCUCCCAGCUCCUCCCAUCCUAAAACCCAACCACCAAGCCGACAAAGCCAACCCUCUUCUACCCUCUAGUCCUUCAGCCCCAGUCUUGGUGGCGACCUGUUAUCUCCAGGUCUUAUCUCCUUGGCUCUACCCCUACUCUCCACCCCAUGGGGCUGCCUCUGCCCCCUCCACCCUCCACCCAGAUGGCUUCUGCUCAGGUCACCAGCAACUUCGCUCCCUAAAUCCAACGCGCUCUGUGUGGCACUCCACCUGCCUGACCUUCCUGCACCAGUUCCCCUGUUGACCACUCCCUGCAGGGAGCCAUCUGUCACUCCUGUCCCCCCACCCCACCACUGCUCUGCCAGCAACUUCUCAAUGCCCUUUGUCAGCUCCUCCCCCACCCAAGCGUUGCUGUUCUGUCUUGAGCCCACUCUUCUUCCCAAGCUCUCUCCCUUGGCAUUCCCAUGGAUUGAAUAGCCAACGAGUCCUAGGGCCACAUCCCAGCCCAGACCUGUCUCCUGGGCUCUGGGCCUGGGCACCCAACUGCCUCCACUGGGUGUCUCUACAACAACUCAAACCAAGCAUGUCUGGAACCAUCUCAUGAUUCUAUCUCUCAGACCCGCUUUCCCUCCCAAGCCCCUAUGUCCAUAAACAGCACGAUCACCCACCCUGCGUUCAAGCCAAAAACCUGGGAGUCGCUGACCCCUUCCUCUCGCUCUCGCUGCACCCAGUCGCUAAGUCCUGCCGAGUUCACCUUCCGAAUGCCUGUGCACUCCAUCCAGACCUCCUGAUUCAGAUGAUGCCACUUAAACCUGGGACACCCCACCUGUGCCCCAGUGAGGGGAUCCUAACUGAUCUCCCUAAGCCACACUUACCCCACAUUCCACUCUCCUUACAGCAGCCAGAGGGAUCUUUCUAAAACAUACAUCCUUUUAUGUCAUUGGUCAGCUUAACGUUCAUCACCACCUUCCAACUGCUCCUCCCCAGUGAAACCCCCAAAUGAGUGGCACCUUGUGCCAUCCGCCCCCAGCUCUCUGAGCAUCAGCCUCCCUGGCCCUUUCACUUUCCUUCAACUCACCAUGCUUCUCCCUGCCUCCAAGGCUUCAUUCUCGCUGCUUUCUCUGCCCAGAAUGCGUUUCCUUCUCCCCCUGACCCAUCCCCAAGAGAUCAGGCCAAGGGCCGCUUCUCACAUUUCCCACCAGCCCACAUUUCCGCACAGGGCCCCUAGGGUUCAUCGGCCCCCAGCUUGUUUGCACUCAUCCAUGGGUGCCUGUGGUUGCUUGAUUCAUGUCUGUCUCGACUCCUGGACUGAAAAUUCCAUGAAAACCAGGGGCCAUGUCUGUCUUGCUCCGCCUACAGCCACACUGUGCCUGGCACAUAGCAACCCAGAGCUCCACCUUCCCGGGACAUCCCCUGUCUACACAGCCAGCAUUCACUGCCCCAGGAAUAAACUCAAGUCUGGAA